AGAGUUUGAUCCUGGCUCAGGAUGAACGCUAGCGACAGGCUUAACACAUGCAAGUCGAGGGGCAGCAUAGAAGUAGCAAUACUUUGGUGGCGACCGGCGCACGGGUGAGUAACGCGUAUGCAACCUACCUAUCAGAGGGGAAUAACCCGGCGAAAGUCGGACUAAUACCGCAUAAAACAGGGGCACCGCAUGGUGAUAUUUGUUAAAGAAAUUCGCUGAUAGAUGGGCAUGCGUUCCAUUAGGUAGUUGGUGAGGUAACGGCUCACCAAGCCGACGAUGGAUAGGGGAACUGAGAGGUUGGUCCCCCACACUGGUACUGAGACACGGACCAGACUCCUACGGGAGGCAGCAGUGAGGAAUAUUGGUCAAUGGGCGAGAGCCUGAACCAGCCAAGUCGCGUGAAGGAAGAAGGAUCUAUGGUUCGUAAACUUCUUUUGCAGGGGAAUAAAGUGCAGGACGUGUCCUGUUUUGUAUGUACCCUGAGAAUAAGGAUCGGCUAACUCCGUGCCAGCAGCCGCGUUAAUACGGAGGAUCCGAGCGUUAUCCGGAUUUAUUGGGUUUAAAGGGUGCGUAGGUGGCCUGAUAAGUCAGGGGUCAAAGGCAACGGCUCAACCGUUGUAAGCCCUUGAAACUAUCGGGCUUGAGUUCAGGAGAGGAAAGCGGAAUUCCAAGUGUAGCGGUGAAAUGCGUAGAUAUUUGGAGGAACAUCAGUGGCGAAGGCGGCUUUCUGGACUGAUACUGACACUGAGGCACGAAAGCGUGGGGAGCAAACAGGAUUAGAUACCCUGGUAGUCCACGCCGUAAACGAUGAGUACUAGGUGUUGGCCCUAAGGGUCGGUGCCGCAGUUAACACAUUAAGUACUCCGCCUGGGAAGUACGCUCGCAAGAGUGAAACUCAAAGGAAUUGACGGGGACCCGCACAAGUAGCGGAGCAUGUGGUUUAAUUCGAAGCAACGCGAAGAACCUUACCUAAGCUUGACAUCCCUCUGAAAGCCCCUUAAUCGGGGCCCCUCUUCGGAGCAGAGGUGACAGGUGGUGCAUGGUUGUCGUCAGCUCGUGUCGUGAGAUGUUGGGUUAAGUCCCGCAACGAGCGCAACCCUUGUCUUUAGUUGCCAGCAGUUCGGCUGGGCACUCUAGAGAGACUGCCGAGGAUAACUCGGAGGAAGGUGGGGAUGACGUCAAAUCAUCAUGCCCCUUAUGCUUAGGGCUACACACGUGCUACAAUGGCUGUUACAAAGGGUUGCCAAACCGCGAGGUGGAGCUAAUCCCAUAAAGACAGUCUAAGUUCGGAUUGUAGGCUGAAACUCGCCUACAUGAAGCUGGAGUUACUAGUAAUCGCAGAUCAGAAUGCUGCGGUGAAUGCGUUCCCGGGUCUUGUACACACCGCCCGUCACACCAUGGGAGUUGGGGGGGCCCAAAGUUAACUAUCCAACCGCAAGGAGGAAGUUACCUAAGGCAAAAUCAAUGACUGGGGUGAAGUCGUAACCAAGGUAACC
rnacentral:rRNA from 1 species